GGGGAUUUAGCUCAGCGGCAUAAGCGCCUGCCUUGUAAGCAGGCAAUCGCCAGUUUGAUCCCCG
rnacentral:tRNA from 1 species